rnacentral:rRNA from 1 species
GGAGCCUAUCAAUAAGCGGAGGAGCA